AGUCGAACGAGGAGGCAGCCUUCGGGCUGUAGUACUAGUGGCGNCCGNGUGAGUAACGCGUAGGAAGGUGUCCUCCAGACCGGGACAACCACUGGAAACGGUGGCUAAUACCGGAUGAGCCCGAGAGGGGAAAGCGAGCCAAGGCUUGGCUGGAGGAGCUGCCUGCGACCCAUCAGGUAGUUGGUAGGGUAAAGGCCUACCAAGCCGACGACGGGUAGCCGGCGUGAGAGCGUGGCCGGCCACAGGGGCACUGAGACACGGGUCCCACUCCUACGGGAGGCAGCAGUGGGGAAUAUUGGACAAUGGGGGGAACCCUGAUCCAGCGACGCCGCGUGGAGGAAGAAGUCCUUCGGGACGUAAACUCCUGAACUUACCGAACAAUAAGGAUGGUAGGGAAUGGCCAUCUGAUGAGGGUAGGUAAGGAAAAGCCCCGGCUAACUACGUGCCAGCAGCCGCGGUAAUACGUAGGGGGCGAGCGUUGCCCGGAAUCACUGGGCGUAAAGGGGGUGUAGGCGGUCUAAUAAGUCAGAUGUAAAAGGCCCUGGCUCAACCAGGGAAAUGCGUCUGAAACUGUUAGACUUGAGGUUGCUAGAGGGAGACGGAAUUACCCGUGUAGCGGUGAAAUGCGUAGAUACAGGUAAGAAGGCCGGUGGUGAAGACGGUCUCCUGGGGCAAANCUUGACGCUGAGGCCCGAAAGCUAGGGGAAGCAAANCCGGAUUAAAUACCCGGGNUAGUCUUAGCCGUAAACGAUGCCCACUUAGGUGUGAGCGGGAAGUACCCUUNCGUGG
rnacentral:rRNA from 1 species